AUUGAACGCUGGCGGCAUGCCUUACACAUGCAAGUCGAACGGUAACAGGUCUUCGGAUGCUGACGAGUGGCGAACGGGUGAGUAAUACAUCGGAACGUGCCCAGACGUGGGGGAUAACGAGGCGAAAGCUUUGCUAAUACCGCAUACGAUCUAAGGAUGAAAGCAGGGGACCGCAAGGCCUUGCGCGUUUGGAGCGGCCGAUGGCAGAUUAGGUAGUUGGUGGGAUAAAAGCUUACCAAGCCGACGAUCUGUAGCUGGUCUGAGAGGACGACCAGCCACACUGGGACUGAGACACGGCCCAGACUCCUACGGGAGGCAGCAGUGGGGAAUUUUGGACAAGGGGCGAAAGCCUGAUCCAGCAAUGCCGCGUGCAGGAUGAAGGCCUUCGGGUUGUAAACUGCUUUUGUACGGAACGAAAAGGCUCUGGCUAAUACCUGGGGCACAUGACGGUACCGUAAGAAUAAGCACCGGCUAACUACGUG
rnacentral:rRNA from 1 species